rnacentral:rRNA from 1 species
GACGAACGCUGGCGGCGUGCUUAACACAUGCAAGUCGAACGGAAAGGCCCUUCGGGGUACUCGAGUGGCGAACGGGUGAGUAACACGUGGGUGAUCUGCCCUGCACUUUGGGAUAAGCCUGGGAAACUGGGUCUAAUACCGAAUAGGACCACGCGCUUCAUGGUGUGUGGUGGAAAGCUUUUGCGGUGUGGGAUGGGCCCGCGGCCUAUCAGCUUGUUGGUGGGGUAAUGGCCUACCAAGGCGACGACGGGUAGCCGGCCUGAGAGGGUGACCGGCCACACUGGGACUGAGAUACGGCCCAGACUCCUACGGGAGGCGGCAGUGGGGAAUAUUGCACAAUGGGCGCAAGCCUGAUGCAGCGACGCCGCGUGAGGGAUGACGGCCUUCGGGUUGUAAACCUCUUUCAAUAGGGACGAAGCGCAAGUGACGGUACCUAUAGAAGAAGCACCGGCCAACUACGUG